UCAAGCGUAGUAAUUGUAAUAAUGUAUGAAAUUCUACCAAUUUUAUUCAUAUAUUUUAGGUGAGAGGAAGGGCGAAUGAAGACACCAAGAAACCUUUAACCGGUUGUCUUGUGACGGCAAAUUUCGACCUCAGCGCAGCUUACAAAUACUUCAGUCGACUCUUUGUCCUGAAAAUUUAUCCACUCAAGGACAAAAAGACUGGUGAUGCCAGAAUAUUGGAAGAGGCUGCUAAGGCAGCAUCCUCAGCACUUCCAUUAAUACUCAACAUCAUGUCAGGGCUGAGCCAUGAUGAUAUCCACAAGGAGGUGGAGAAAAUCCAGACAGUGGAGAUGGAUAUCCGUAUUUUGGAGGGAAUAGCCCUGCCAACAAUCCUGGCGCGACAGUUUCUAAAUGCUGCAGGGCGUUACGAUUUAAUGUAGACAGUCCUCAACUACAUUAAAGAUGUCCUUAUUCCAUAUUAUAA